UCGUAUAACAAGAGGCAUUCGAGGCUGUCGCUGACCCCCAAAGGUCGUGCACGCCUUGAGUGUUCUCAUUUACACAUCCAUCUCACCCUUUGUGCAUCACCGCGUGGGCCCCCUUUUGAUUCAAAAGGUGGUUUGCGUUUUUACAUACACACCGUCGUCAUGAAUGUCCUUUUGCGAUUCUACGCAAUCAAUA
rnacentral:misc_RNA from 1 species